AAAUUUAAGUGUAAGGGCAUCCAAAGGAUACCUAGGUAGUUAGCAAAUAAAGGACGUAAUUUGAUGCGAUAAGCUAGACUUAUGACUACAAUCACCAAGUCUAGAUUUCCGAUUGGUAAACCAUCCUUAUUAGGAAUUAACAACUUAGUGAAGUGAAACAUCUCAGUAACUAAGAAAAAAAUCAACCGAGAUUCCGGUAGUAGUGGCGAGCGAACCCGGAUUUAGGCCUUAAAUAAUAUAUAUUAAUGAUGACAACAACUAUGGAAUUUAGUGACCAAAGUAGGUGAAAGUCCUUCCCAAUCAUUAAUAUUAUUGUUUUAUGAGUAGAACGGGACAUGUGAAAUCUUGUUUGAAUAUAGGAGAACCAUCUUCUAAGCCUAAAAAUGCUAAACUAACCGAUAGUGUACAAGUACCGUGAGGGAAAGGCGAAAAGUCCUUAGGAGGCGUUAAAUUUUCCAAUGAAAUUGGAUGCCUAAUAACUGAUGGAGCCCGUAUAGGGUGACAUCGUACCUUUUGUAUAAUGGGUCAGCAACUUUAUUUAUUUGGCGUAGCUUAAACUAAGAAGUGAAGGCGUAGCGAAAGCAAAAUAUCUGGUUAUAAUUUAAUAGCCUGUAGUCAAAUGAAUAAUACCCGAAACCGUGUGAUCUAGUUAUGAGCAGGUUGAAGCUCAUGUAACAAUGAGUGAAGGACCGAACCCGUGUAUGUUGCAAAAUACUGGGAUGACUUGUGACUAGGAGUGAAAGGCUAAUCAAACACGGUAAUAGCUGGUUUUCUGCGAAAUCUAUUUUAGUAGAGCGUCAAGAAAUCUAAAUCUGGGGUAGAGCUCUCAAUGGACUAGGGGGAUGAAAGUCUUACCAAACCCAAGGAAACUUCGAAUACGGAUUUAUGUAAACUUGGCAGACAGACAUUGUGCGCGAAGGCUCAAUGUCAAAAGGGAAACAGCCCUUAUUAUCUGUUAAGGUCCCUAAGUUAUCUCUUAGUGAACAAGGAAGUUGUAUUACGACAACAACCAGGAGGUAGGCUUGGAAGCAGCCAUCCUUUAAAGAAAGCGUAACAGCUCACUGGUCUAGUAGUAUAGCGCCGAAAAUGUAUAGGGACUCAAGAGAUACACCGAAACAGUAACUAGUUAUUAUUUAUAUAACUAGGGUAGCAGAACGUUCUGUAGACUUAUGAAGCUUUUUUGAAAGAAAAGGUGGAGGUAUCAGAAGUGAGAAUGCUGACAUAAGUAACGAUAAACUAUGUCCUAGAAUCAUAGUCGCCGAAAGUUUAAGGGUUUCGAAUGAUAAGAGUUCGACUUAUUCGAUUAAAACGGCCCCUAAGGUCAAAGCGAAAGCUGUAGCCGAUGGGAUGUUUCUUUAAAAGGAACUUCUUUUUGUGUAUGACGAAGAAACAAUGGUAUGUAUAAUUUCGAUUAUUAUGCUAGUUUCUUCCAGGAAAAAGUCACAAAAGUAUAAGACCGUACCCCAAACCGACACAGGUAAAUUGGUAGAGAAUACUAAGGCGCGUGAGUAAACCAAGUUUAAGGAACUCGGCAAAAUGACCUCGUAACUUCGGGAGAAGAGGUACUCUUUUUUGAGAGUGACACAAAAUCGGGGGUAACGACUGUUUAAUAAAAACACAUGACUCUGCUAAAUCGUAAGAUGAUGUAUAGGGUCUGACACCUGCCCGGUGCCAGAAGGCUAAAAGGAGAUGUGCAAGCUUCGAAUUGAAUCCCUGGUAAACGGCGGCCGUAACUCUGACGGUCCUAAGGUAGCGAAAUUCCUUGUCGAUUAACUGUCGACCUGCAUGAAUGGUGUAACGAUUUCCCCACUGUCUCAAACUUGGACUCAGUGAAAUUGAAUUGUCCGUGAAGAUGCGGACUAUCUACGGCUAGACGGAAAGACCCCGUGCACCUUUACUACAUCUUUUCAUUGUAUACCGGAGAACGUUGUGCAGGAUAGGUGGGAGCUUAUGAGACCUUGGCGCAAGCCAAUUGUUGAAGCGCCCUUGAGAUACCACUCUUCUUUGUUCCGGAUGCUAACCUCUUUCUCCAAAGAGAAGGGGGAACAGUGAAUGGUUGGUAGUUUGGCUGGGGUGGCCGCCUCCCAAAGAGUAACGGAGGCGCACAAAGGUAAGCUCAAGCUGGAAUAAAAUCAGCUGUAGAGCGCAAUAGCAUAUGCUUGCCUGACUGUGAGACAGACAUGUCGAGCAGAGACGCAAGUCGGUUAUAGUGAUCCGGUGGUCCGUCAUGGAACGGCCAUCGCUCAACGAAUAAAAGGUACGCCGGGGAUAACAGGCUAAUGACUCUUAAGAGCUCAUAUCGAUGGAGUUGUUUGGCACCUCGAUGUCGACUCAUCACAUCCUGGAGCUGGAGAAGGUUCCAAGGGUUCGUCUGUUCGCCGAAUAAAGUGGUACGUGAGUUGGGUUUAGAACGUCGUGAGACAGUUUGGUCCCUAUCUACCGUAGAUAAUGGAAAAAUGAGAGGAUCUCAAUCUAGUACGAGAGGACCGAAUAGGGUUGACCUCUGGUGUAUCGGUUGUCUUAUUAAAGGCAGUGCCGAGUAGCUACGUCAAUUAAAAAUAACUGCUGAAAGCAUAUAAGCAGGAAGUUGACCUCAAGAAUUUUUCUGUCAAAAAGUGUAAAAGAAUAUUACGUUGAUAGGCACGGUUUGUAAGUGUGGUGACAUAUUUAGAUAACGUGUACUAAAUCUUUUUAUUAAAUUUUU
rnacentral:ncRNA from 20 species